GAAUGAGAGUAUAGUUCCUAAUCAUAUCAGCCUAGAAAAUCGCAACUUUUCAUUUUCCGCCGGUCUUAGUACACGAUAUAACUACAGAAGAGUCAAGUUUUAAAUAGGACAAAUAUUGAAACUCUUUGGUCAUUUUUGAACGCGAUGCUACUGGUCUAAUCGGAUUCAAUGAUCUAACUUAUGCUAAGCUAUGCUAAAAGUGCUAUCGCCAGACCCGGAGAUCGGCUGAAUGGAUUCAAAAACGCCUGGGCUCGGACUCAAAACAAGCUGGUCUCGACUGUGAUAAGCAUUGAAACAGAAGAAAGUACCUGUUCUCUGUCAAAGAUCUCCAGCAAAUGCUCCAAUCCCAGGUUGUGAAGGAACUGGCUGAUACUCAACUCUACGGCUAGACCUGAAAAAGCAUCAGCUCCAGAAGGCGGUAGGAGAGUGCUCAGCUCAGGGAAGGUCCCGGACUGGCCGUCCAUACUGGAGUUUGAAGAGAGCGGUGUUGGAGUCGAGCUGAGAGUCGACGGCACCACUGCCACAGACGCCGAGACACUGAUAACCUGGGGUUUAUAGCAUGCCGGCAGCGCUGAGGGAGGCAUGGCUGCCGUGAGGAGAGCUCGGACAUCGUCCGCCUGGAGAGACAGACAGUGCAACGUCAGAAAGUCAAGAUCAUGUACAUCGGCUCCGUGCUGCAGCAGAUACUCCACCACAGCCACACGGUUGUAUCCCGCAGCAAAGUGCAGAGGUGUGGACUGCCUUCCCUCAACGUCUCUACAGUUCACGUUCUGAAGAGUACAGAGCUUCUACACGGAAAGAAAUUGAAGGACAUGAGGGCGAGGAAAUGGUGAAUCUGAAGUAAACGUCACCUUGCAGUAUCUCCUGAAUGCUUUCAUUGGCGAGCUGGGAGGGUGAGAGGCCCUGUAGGGAGGUGAUGAGUGGGUCACAUCCAG